GAGGGAGAGACUCAGCCAGCGACGUCAUCGGAUCCCCCAGCGCGUCCCAGGGAGGGAGGCCGAACCAGAAAAACCAGUCUGGAGCCGGCGAGCGGAGAGGGUUGUGCGGCGCGACGGGGGAGGGAAGCGACCGGGAAGUCAAGGCCCGGCCCCGCUGCAGCCGCGCUCCCGCUCGCUCGGAUCCAGGGAUCUCCCCAGAGAGCCAGUCUCUACUUGUCAUGCAAAAAAACUUGGGCGUCUCUAGGAGCCUGAGAAUUUCCUUUAGGGAUGCGGAAACCUCCUCCCUCCCACCCCCAUCUUCCCAUUUCCCAGAUCUUUCCUCGUCUUUAAGACAAAGAGAAUUAUAGAGUAAUUCGUAUUGUCUUUAAUUAGAAUUGUCUUUAUGAUUUUUGUCCGGGUUCCUCCGAUCUCUUUUCUCUCUGUGGUCCCGCCUCUAUGCAACAUUAAUGCUAUCGGUCAAAAAAUAAAAUAAAAUCAUAUUGUAGGUCCUGGCUGCGUUUCUGGAGCUUUGCAGUGUUUUACUAGCACUUUCCGGGCCCCUGCGGAAGCACGAACUUUUCACGCGCUCGAAAUGCCCCAGUUGCCUUCGCUGGGGUCACUCACCAGGGCGCCCUGGGCGCACCCAGCUCGGGGAUCGCGGCCCGCCCUCGCCGGGGUAUUCAAAUCGGUUUGGGCAGCUGCGAGAGAGGAGCAGCUGCCGGUUUCCUGGUGGCAGUGCUGAGACCUGUGGCGAGCGGCCGCCUCCAGUCUGCUAGCUUCCCUUCCUCCGAAGGGACGCGAGUGAAAUCACACCCAGCGCGGGGACAGCGGGGACGGGGGACGGGGGAAUCCCAGGCGAGUGGGGGCCGGGGCCCUGGGCUUCCUCCCCGGCCCGGCAACACCCGGGGGACACCGGGGCUCCCUCGAGCCGUUACCCUGCCUGUGUGGACUUGUGUGCACCCUUAGGGGAGGUUCCCAGGCGGCCGCGGUGGCAGGAGCGCGGCGAAAGGCUGGCCACCGGGCCGGGCGUACUCUCAGAGCGCCUCCUCCGGGUGGUCUGCGGGCCGGGAAAGGAACGUGCGCCACCCCUCCCGGGCGCCCCAGCGGCCGAGCAGAGCCGACUGCCCCGGCGCCGCGGGCCCGAGAGGCCCUCCCCGCCCCCCGUCCGCGCCGCCGCCCUGCCCCGGGCGGAGUAAACAAGAGACGCGCAAGAUUUGACCUGGCGCGACCCGGAUUUCUGGCCGGGGUUCCCCCUGAGCAGGUGACUCCGUGGGAGGGGUGGAAAUGAGUCUCUGGAAUUCCGGGCCAAAGACAUUAACUGUGGUUCUGCUUUUAAGGCAGGUAUUUCACCGACAACUGCGGAAUGUUUUGCGUCUCAAGUUUCAGAUUUCGCGGAAAGGGACCAAAUGUCAAGGCAUAUCAAAUAUUCCCUUCCCUUUUCAUUAAAAGAGAGUGCAUUUAAAAGGAGGACAGCCCUUUAAUGACUGCGAGAAUGAAAACUUCUGAAGACAAAACCAAAACUGGCUCUGGUAAACUGUGCACUCAGCUCUAAGAAGCUCUGUGGAAAGUGAGGUUGGCUGGGGCAUAGCUGACCCUGCCUGGGCACCCGUAUAGAGCAUCACAACCAGCUGCAGCAACAAAAUUAUCAUGGACUGGAUGGCUUAAAAAGCAGAAAUUUAUUUUCAGUUUUGGAGGCUGGGAAGUCCAAGAUCAAGCUGCUGCCUGAUUCAGUUCCUGACUCCAUCCUCUUCCUGGUUUGCAGAAGGAUGUCUUCUUACUAUGGCCUCACAUGGCAGAGAGAGAGAGAGAUCAUCACUUUUGUGUCUUUUCUUAUAAAAGCACUAACCUCUUUCAUGAGGGCUGUACUCCCUGAUUGCCUCCCAAAGACUCAUAUCUCCAAAUACCAUCACAUUGGGAAUUAGGGCUUCAACAUGUGAGUUGGUGCCGGGGUGGGAGUGGGAUGGGGGGAUACAAACCUCCAGUCCAUACCAUCGUUUAUUAGGAAAUGUAGAAUAUUAGCAGACUGUCAAACACUUUUCAUGG